AAGACUCUGCUGAGGGAGAAGAACAAUGAGCUCCUGUGUGCCCGUACAACCAAUGGUUACAUCACAAAUCAACUCGACAAGGCUCAAGAACAGAUUGAAGAACUCAAAGUGCUGGCGGGUUUGAAGAAAUCUAGACUUGAAAACAAUGAGCUCCUGUGUGCCCGUACAACCAAUGGUUACAUCACAAAUCAACUCGACAAGGCUCAAGAACAGAUUGAAGAACUCAAAG
rnacentral:lncRNA from 1 species